rnacentral:rRNA from 1 species
GACGAACGCUGGCGGCGUGCCUAACACAUGCAAGUCGAACGGGGUUGUUCCUUCGGGGACAACUUAGUGGCGAACGGGUGAGUAACGCGUGAGGAACCUACCUCUCAGUGGGGGACAACAGUUGGAAACGACUGCUAAUACCGCAUAAUGUUUUCGGACCGCAUGAUCUGAAAACCAAAGAUUUAUUGCUGAGAGAUGGCCUCGCGUCUGAUUAGCUAGUUGGUGGGGUAACGGCCCACCAAGGCGACGAUCAGUAGCCGGUCUGAGAGGAUGAACGGCCACAUUGGGACUGAGAUACGGCCCAGACUCCUACGGGAGGCAGCAGUGGGGAAUAUUGCACAAUGGGGGAAACCCUGAUGCAGCAACGCCGCGUGAGUGAAGAAGUAUUUCGGUAUGUAAAGCUCUAUCAGCAGGGAAGAAAAUGGCGGUACCUGACUAAGAAGCCCCGGCUAACUACGUGCCAGCAGCCGCGGUAACACGUAGGGGGCAAGCGUUAUCCGGAUUUACUGGGUUUAAAGGGUGCGUAGGCGGCGUCUUAAGUCAGCGGUGAAAUUUAGGGGCUCAACCUCUACCGUGCCGUUGAUACUGGGAUGCUGGAAUGCGGAUGCCGUGGGAGGAAUGUGUGGUGUAGCGGUGAAAUGCAUAGAUAUCACACAGAACACCGAUUGCGAAGGCAUCUCACGAAUCCGCUAUUGACGCUGAGGCACGAAAGCGUGGGGAUCAAACAGGAUUAGAUACCCUGGUAGUCACGCUGUAAACGAUGAUGACUAACCGUCGGCGAUACACAGUCGGUGGCCAAGCGAAAGCGAUAAGUCAUCCACCUGGGGAGUACGACCCAAGGUUGAAACUCAAAGGAAUUGACGGGGGCCCGCACAAGCGGAGGAACAUGUGGUUUAAUUCGAUGAUACGCGAGGAACCUUACCCGGGCUCGAACGGCAGAUGAAUUGAGUAGAGGUAUUCAAGUCUUCGGACAUCUGUCGAGGUGCUGCAUGGUUGUCGUCAGCUCGUGCAGUGAAGUGUCGGCUUAAGUGCCAUAACGAGCGCAACCCUUGCCGUUAGUUGCCAUCAGGUUAAGCUGGGGACUCUAGCGGGACUGCCACCGCAAGGUGUGAGGAAGGGGGGGAUGACGUCAAAUCAGCACGGCCCUUACGUCCGGGGCGACACACGUGUUACAAUGGCGAGUACAGAGGGAAGCUACCUGGCGACAGGAUGCAGAUCUCGAAAGCUCGUCCCAGUUCGGAUUGGAGUCUGCAACCCGACUCCAUGAAGUUGGAUUCGCUAGUAAUCGCGCAUCAGCCAUGGCGCGGUGAAUACGUUCCCGGGCCUUGUACACACCGCCCGUCAAGCCAUGGAAGCCGGGGGUGCCUGAAGUACGUGACCGGGAGGAGCGUCCUAGGGCAAAACUGGUAACUGGGGCU